rnacentral:rRNA from 1 species
AACAAGGUUUCCGUAGGUGAACCUGCGGAAGGAUCAUUGUCGUUUGCUCGGAAAAACACGACCCUGUGCACGUAACCUAAUCCAUCGCUGCCGGGGCGGCUUUUAGCGGCCCCGGCCCACCGGACGCGGUCCUCACGGGCCGCGCGCCGGGAAUACGGCGCGGUAUGCGCCAAGGAACACGAGAUGCUGAGGCGGCCGGCGGAGCGCUCCGGCGCACCGCCUGUCGUCGAUGCAAAGUAAUACAUGAUGACUCUCGGCAACGGAUAUCUCGGCUCUCGCAUCGAUGAAGAACGUAGCGAAAUGCGAUACGUGGUGUGAAUUGCAGAAUCCCGCGAACCAUCGAGUCUUUGAACGCAAGUUGCGCCCGAGGGAUCCGCCCAAGGGCACGCCUGCCUGGGCGUUAGAAGCCUAUCCACGCUCGGUGCUUACUCAGCCCCGAUGCGGAUCAUGGCCCUCCGAGUCCUACGACGCGGUGGCCUUAAGUGUGCGGCCGCUGGGAGGAGCCGUGAGCGGCGAGUGGUGGAACGCUGCGUACGCCGCCUCGCGCUCCUUGUCGGCACACGGCCUUGACUGACCCUUUAACGAGGAGCCUUGCCUACCAAGGCGUGGCACUUCGGAUCGAUACCCCAGGUCAGCCUAAAGAAAAACCCA